rnacentral:rRNA from 2 species
UUAACGCGAAGAACCUUACCAGUCCUUGACAUCCUGCUGACGUAUGAGUAAUGUCAUAUUUCCUACGGGACAGCAGAGACAGGUGGUGCAUGGUUGUCGUCAGCUCGUGUCGUGAGAUGUUGGGUUAAGUCCCGCAACGAGCGCAACCCCUGUGGCCAGUAGCCAGCAUUAAGGAUGGGAACUCUGGUCAGACUGCCGGGGAUAACCCGGAGGAAGGUGGGGACGACGUCAAAUCAUCAUGCCCCUUAUGGGCUGGGCUACACACGUGCUACAAUGGUGCCAACAGAGUGAGGCGAGCCGGUGACGGUAAGCAAAGCACAAAAAAGGCAUCUCAGUUCGAAUUGUAGUCUGCAACCCGACUACAUGAAGCUGGAAUCGCUAGUAAUCGCAGAUCAGAAUGCUGCGGUGAAUACGUUCCCGGGUCUUGUACACACGC